rnacentral:tRNA from 1 species
GCGGACGUAGGCCAAUUGGAGAGCCGCGAGCCUCAAGAUCUCGUGCCUGCGGGUUCAAGCCCCGCCGUCCGUA